rnacentral:lncRNA from 1 species
AGGAGCGCUGUGAGCUGAGGGGGAGUGUGUAUCGCCUCGGAUGAGAGCUAGGCGCUGUCAGAAGCUGAAGAUGGGAUGGACAGACUGUGGCCAUGAUAAGACUCAGCCGUGCUUCUUUCCAGUCUCUGCUCUGACGUGAGACCCAGGGAGUCCUUUAACUAGAAUUGAUGUCAUCUUUGUCGAGGGGGCAGCCUAAAGCUGCGCCUCCGAGU